rnacentral:rRNA from 1 species
CGUAGGUGGUUAGAUCAGUCGGAUGUGAAAGCCCAGGGCUCAACCUUGGAAUUGCAUCCGAUACUGUCUGACUAGAGUAUGGUAGAGGGAAGUGGAAUUUCCGGUGUAGCGGUGAAAUGCGUAGAUAUCGGAAAGAACACCAGUGGCGAAGGCGACUUCCUGGACCAAUACUGACACUGAGGUGCGAAAGCGUGGGGAGCAAACA